rnacentral:lncRNA from 1 species
GGGGGAGUCACCUGGGGAAGCCGGAGGUGAAACACCUCCUCAUAGGGCUACUGCAAGGGUCACAACCACGUCAGAGGGCACCAGGCGAUGGCCACAGAGCCCCCGUGACUUCAAGCGCCCAAGGUGUGCGGUUCCUGGGUCCCAGUGAAGACGACGCUGGGUCUGCUGCAGAGCAACUUGGGAAAGGGGCGCUCAGCUGGCCCUGCUCCAAGCCCGUCUCUCACCGCUGGCCGCCAGGACUGGCCGCAAGGCCCACUAACCCAAGCUGACCUGGAACCGCAUCCUUCCCUGUGCCCAGAAGGCAGGAAGCAUGUGCUCGUGGGUGGACGGCACAGCGCCUACCACCAAGGGCACAGAACGACCUUUGCCCCGUUAGGUAGGAGCUCAGGGACACCGGGGGACACGGCAGGGAGAAGAGUCAAGCCCCUGUUUACAAUCAGUCCCACGUUACAGGCUGAGGCCUUCCAGGAAACUGAGGCAGAGUGAAGACCCCCCUCCUUUCAAACUCCAAUUCUUGCAAUCAAGUCAGAAAGAUUUCAGACAUGUCACUCAGAGUAACAGGCAUCAGUUUAUUGAAGGGACAGGAAAAGGGAGUGGGUCACUCUCAAGGGACAGAGUGGGUCCUCUCAGAAAGAAGGAGGACAGUGUGCCUCUCUGCACUCCAGUUUUAUUGGGGAUCCCAGAGAACUUUCCAGAGAGUCCCACCCAUGUCCACCUCUUGACUUUUGACUGACAGCAGGAUGACAUCAGACUUUCAAGUCCCCACUGCUAUGACCACUUAGGUCAUUUUGGCCCAUGCUGACUGGCUCUAAUUGGAUUAGAGAGAUGCAAAUCAAAACCACCCUAAGAUACCAUCUCACUCCAGUAAGAUUGGCAGCCAUUAUGAAGUCAAACAACAACAAGUGCUGGCGAGGAUGUGGGGAAAAGGGUACUCUUGUA